rnacentral:rRNA from 1 species
CUUCCGUAGGUGAACCUGCGGAAGGAUCAUUACAGUGUUUUCCUGCCUUUCUAGGUAGAACACCCACCCUUGUGUAUUAUAUUUUGUUGCUUCGGCGAGCCGCCUCAGGGCGUCGGCUUAGGCUGAUUCGUGCUCGCCAGAGGACCUUCAACUCUGUGUUAUAGUGUCGUCUGAGAAUUAUUUAAUAAUUAAAACUUUCAACAACGGAUCUCUUGGUUCUGGCAUCGAUGAAGAACGCAGCGAAAUGCGAUAAGUAAUGUGAAUUGCAGAAUUCAGUGAAUCAUCGAAUCUUUGAACGCACAUUGCGCCCCUUGGUAUUCCGAGGGGCAUGCCUGUUCGAGCGUCAUUUAGACCAACUCCCGCUUCGGCGGGGUCUUGGGCUUCGCCAUUAGGCGGGCCUUAAAAUCAGUGGCGGUGCUCUAUGGCUCUACGCGUAGUAAUUCUUCUCGCGAUAGGUGUUGUAGGGUAUCUUGCCAGUAACCCCCAACUUCUUAGGUUGACCUCGGAUCAGU